UGCCAGACUCCUACGGGAGGCAGCAGUGGGGAAUAUUGCACAAUGGGGGAAACCCUGAUGCAGCGACGCCGCGUGAGCGAAGAAGUAUUUCGGUAUGUAAAGCUCUAUCAGCAGGGAAGAAAUUGACGGUACCUGAGUAAGAAGCUCCGGCUAAAUACGUGCCAGCAGCCGCGGUAAUACGUAUGGAGCAAGCGUUAUCCGGAUUUACUGGGUGUAAAGGGAGCGUAGGCGGCCUGCCAAGUCUGAUGUGAAAUACCGGGGCUCAACCCCGGGGCUGCAUUGGAAACUGGCAGGCUGGAGUGUGUGAGAGGAUAGUGGAGUUCCAGGUGUAGGAGUGAAAUCCGUAGAUAUCUGGAGGAACAUCAGUGGCGAAGGCGACUAUCUGGCACAUAACUGACGCUGAGGAGCGAAAGCGUGGGUAGCAAACAGGAUUAGAUACCCUAGUA
rnacentral:rRNA from 1 species